GCUAGUGAGAUUGCGGCAAACAGCCUGAAGGGGACUUGCAUGGAGAGGAGGAGAGUGUAGUGCAGCCAAGAAUGACUUGCCGGAGCUAUAUAUAUAUACACACACACAUAACACAGCCCUUUAUAUGAAGUAUUGCCGGCAAGUUUUUUCUUGGCUAUAUUAGGCUCUCUUCUUUCUCAUGUCAGUGCCACCCUUAGGCUCACUCUAGCUGUACGUAAUCUUCUAUGAUCUUCAUACAACUUCUUACUUCUGCAUAAAGCUUGCUUGGUACGUUUGAUCUGCGAGGAAGUUGCAGACACUCCCAAUUGUGAUCUUCAACCUCCUUGAAGUACUGAUUUACCAUUUCUUCACUCACCAUCUCCAGCUUUGGAGGAUCCCACUAGACACAAAAAUAAAACCAACAAAAAUUGUAAUUAUGCAAUGAAGAGUUCUCCGCAAGAAAUGGCAGCUAAUAUUGUAAUCUCGACAAAGGCAUUGUUCAAUGCUUUGUACUCUGCCUUCUCUCACCUAAUCACGUUCAGCUUAAUUCAUUUCAUUAAUCUGUAAUUUUCUAAAGUAAUUUGUAUUUGUAAUACAUCUUUGCACAUAUACUUACUGAUCUAAGCCAUAUCUUGAGGCUUAUCGGACAAGAUGCACGCAUGAAACUUAAUGCAUCUGCUAUCCACUUUUCUGCUCCAUUAACUUCUAUUUCCUUUUCCUACAAAAAUUAUGACAUUCGAACAAUAUAUUAUUCUUGUCUAAGAAAUCCCGAUUUCAAUAUGAAAAAUGAACAUCAAAUUACACUUUGCGUACCAAGGAUAAAAUAAUUUCCUCAACAGAUCCUUUCGAGAAACAUCUGUUGAUUGUGUCCAGUCUAUUAAUUUGUCAAAAGAACUUUUACUGUAAUCAGCAUGUCUUAUGAAAUACUAGAAACAGGGGAAAAAAAAAACUUAAGUACACGUCCUAUGCAUAUAUGGUUGGACAUUUAUUAUAUGUUAAGGUAUCUAAGUGUGAGCAAAUUAUUUGAGUAAAUGUGAAAAGUUUCACAUUGAAUAAAAUUUGUUGAUUGUGUCCAGUCUGUUAAUUUGUCAAAAGAACUUUUACUGUAAUCAGCAUGUCUUAUGAAAUACUAGAAACCAAGAAAAAAAAAGGACUUAAGUACAGGUACCAUGCGCAUAUGGUUGGAUAGUUAUUAUAUGUUAGUGUGAGUAGAUUAUUUGAAUAAAUGUAAAAAAUCUCACAUCCAAUAAAAUUAAACUUAAUAGCUAAUAACUUGUAAUGUUGACAAAAGCUCGUGUAAAUAUAUUAUGAAACAGAAUAACCACAAAAUUACCUCUUCAAAGGACUGUGUUCCUUGUGAUAGGCUAUUUCAGUAAAUUUAUCAAUUAAUGCAGAAAUUGUUGAAAUAUCUGAAGUUGUCACAGACUGUAGGGCAUUUUCCAGCAAAUUUAGCUUCUGUUGCACGGAGGAAAAUGAUGUGAAUUUUACUAGCUAAUGGGUCAUGUCACAUGAUUAAUUAUAGGAUAAAACUUAUGUAUAUGGCUUUAUAUACUUAACAUACUUAUAUCCAAUCAAAUUAUAACAACUAGAGCUUAAUAUUUAACUAAAUUAAUAACAGGAAUUUAUUAUGGUAUAAAUAAUCCAUAAAAAAUCCUCAUGUCUUGAGUUAAUUGAAAAAAAGAAUAUUAAGUAUAUAAGGCUAAAUAUAUAAACUUUUCUCAUCAAAUAUAGUAAUUUCCAAGUCAUGGAAGAGAAUAUGUAUGAGGCUGAGGAAACACACACACAUGCACAGAGGGACACAAUAUAAUGUUGUUAUAUAUGCAUACCUUGGAAGGGACAAAAUGAGUAGCUAGGCCACACUUAAGCAUUUCUGCUCCAUUCAAACGAGUUCCUGUUAACCCCAGAUAUUCCCCUAUAUGUAUAUGCAUGUGAUUUAUAUAGGAGAAUCAAAAUAAUUAGUACCACAUGAACAAUAAGCAUCACGCAUGUUUGUUAUUAAAAUAAAAUAUUUUUCUCAUAAGGAAUUGCCAAAAUCAAAUGCUGAUAAUGUAAAUAGUACAGAAAGAUGGAAUGGGAAUAUUACCGAAAUAGCCAGGAAGCUUCGAGAGAAAGUAUGAGGCACCCACAUCUGGAAAGAGUCCUAUAGAUGCCUCAGGCAUAGCAAACACCUAUUAUUAAAUGAAUGAUACAAAAUUAGUACAAUGAUUACAGUAUAUAUAUAUAUAUAUAUAUAUAUUGUACACAAUUUCGAUUUUAAUAUAUAUGUUAGAAUGUCUAUGUAGUGUGAGUAAAUUUGAGUUGAUAUUUAGACGAAAUUAAGUUUAAUAAAUAAUAUA